GUUUUCGUGGCCUAGUGGUUAGGGCGUCUGUCUUACAUUUGAUGAUCACAGAAGAUCCCCGGUUCAAUCCCGGGCGGAAACA